UACAGAGGGUGCAAGCGUUGUUCGGAAUUAUUGGGCGUAAAGCGCGUGUAGGCGGCUUUGCAAGUCGGGUGUGAAAGCCCUCAGCUUAACUGAGGAAGUGCGCCCGAAACUGCAUUGCUUGAGUGUCGGAGAGGAUGGUGGAAUUCCCCAAGUAGAGGUGAAAUUCGUAGAUAUGGGGAGGAACACCCGUGGCGAAGGCGGUUCUCUGGGACGGUACUGACGCUGAGACGCGAAAGCGUGGGGAGCGAACAGG
rnacentral:rRNA from 1 species